rnacentral:rRNA from 1 species
GCAAGUCUGGUGCCAGCAGCCGCGGUAAUUCCAGCUCCAAUAGCGUAUAUUAAAGUUGUCGCAGUUAAAAAGCUCGUAGUUGAACCUCGGGAUCAAUGGAUCGGUCAUGCCAUCGGUAUGUACUGGUCUCAUUGGUUCUCACCUUCUAAGGAACCAUGAUGUCAUUCAGUUGAUGUUGUGGGGAAUUAGGACUGUUACCUUGAAAAAAUUAGAGUGUUUAAAGCAGGCUAACGCUUGAAUACAUUAGCAUGGAAUAAUGAAAUAGGACAUCGCAUUCUAUUUUGUUGGUUUCUAGGAUCGAUGUAAUGAUUAAUAGGGAUAGUUGGGGGCAUUAGUAUUCAAUUGUCAGAGGUGAAAUUCUUGGAUUUAUUGAAGACUAACUACUGCGAAAGCAUUUGCCAGGGAUGUUUUCAUUAAUCAAGAACGAAAGUUAGGGGAUCGAAGACGAUCAGAUACCGUCGUAGCCUUAACCAUAAACUAUGCCGACUAGGGAUCGGAUGAUGUUGAUUUUUUAAUGACUCAUUCGGCGCCUUACGGAAAC